rnacentral:rRNA from 1 species
GACGAACGCUGGCGGCGUGCUUAAUACAUGCAAGUCGAGCGAGGUUACUGUUUCGGAUCCCUUCGGGGUGAAGAAGCUUUAACCUAGCGGCGGACGGGUGAGUAACGCGUGGGUAACCUACCCCAAAGUCCGGGAUAACAGCGGGAAACCGCUGCUAAUACCGGAUGCCUUUACCUUGGGGCAUCUUGAGGUAAAGAAAGGCAACGCUUUGGGAUGGGCCCGCGUCCCAUUAGCUAGUUGGUGAGGUAACGGCUCACCAAGGCGACGAUGGGUAGCCGGCCUGAGAGGGUGGACGGCCACACUGGGACUGAGACACGGCCCAGACUCCUACGGGAGGCAGCAGUAGGGAAUAUUGCGCAAUGGACGGAAGUCUGACGCAGCGACGCCGCGUGAGCGAUGAAGGUCUUCGGAUCGUAAAGCUCUGUCCUUGGGGAAGAAGGCGAAAAGCUUGACGGUACCCAAGAAGAAAAGCCCCGGCUAACUACGUGCCAGCAGCCGCGGUAAGAGUACUCUAU